UACGUAGGGGGCUAGCGUUGUCCGGAAUCAUUGGGCGUAAAGAGCGUGUAGGCGGCCCGGUAAGUUCGCUGUGAAAGUCGGGGGCUCAACCCUCGAAUGCCGGUGGAUACUGUCGGGCUAGAGUGCGGAAGAGGCGAGUGGAAUUCCUGGUGUAGCGGUGAAAUGCGCAGAUAUCAGGAGGAACACCGAUUGCGAAGGCAGCUCGCUGGGACGUAACUGACGCUGAGACGCGAAAGCGUGGGGAGCAAACAGG
rnacentral:rRNA from 1 species